GUAUAUCUACUUUAGAUUGUUGUAAAUUAGUGACACAUUUUCCGUUGCUUAAUAUAUGUACUAUUACCACCGACGGAGCUAGGGUAUGGUGCACUAAAAAAUUUUGAUAUAGUUUAUGGAAAAGGAUUACCUGUAUGAAUAAAAUUUUGGGCUCUUUAAUAUUUGGUUUUGGUUUGAUAUAGACUAUAUUUUCAAGAUGCUCAAUUGAUCUGUUGAAGUAGCAAGUUGGGAUGAAUGACUUUGGACCAUGAUGCGAAGCAACGUCUUCCUCAUCUCCUGUAGCUCUAUGGUCCUCUGCUCAUCUAUCUGAGUGAACUCCUACAGUCUCUACUGCAGUUGUUUCUCACUCUGCCUCACUCGCACCAAGUUUAUGUACUCGGAGAUCGCCAACCUUGUUCUCUAAUACCUCAUUUGCAAGUGUUGAUGAUAUAGAACAAGAAACGAAAAAUGAGUACAGAUAAAAAGCAUAUGCUUCGAACCCAAUUCAUAUAUAUAUUUUGUUUACUUUCUGAUCAUCUCAGAUUCAGAAGAAGGUAGGGUUUUUUUU
rnacentral:lncRNA from 1 species